rnacentral:rRNA from 1 species
UACGUAGGGUUCAAGCGUUGUCCGGAAUUAUUGGCGUAAAGAGCUCGUAGGCGGUUUGUCGCGUCUGCUGUGAAAACUCGGGGCUUAACCCCGGGCCUGCAGUGGGUACGGGCAGACUAGAGUGCGGUAGGGGAGACUGGAAUUCCUGGUGUAGCGGUGAAAUGCGCAGAUAUCAGGAGGAACACCGGUGGCGAAGGCGGGUCUCUGGGCCGGAACUGACGCUGAGGAGCGAAAGCGUGGGGAGCGAACAGG